GAUGCCAUUUGUUUCCUUGUUUAACUUCUACAGUACAGUCUCCUUGCUUCCCUAGUUCUCUCCUUUCUUCACAGUAUCAGUCUAUUCUCCGAAGCGGUUUGCUCCUCUAGUUUUCUCCUUUCCUCGUAUCAGUCUACUUUCCUUUAUUUGCUACUUUUGUCUGCUGGAAGCCACGAGGACUUCUCUCUUACUGCAGAUAUCAGAGUACUCUGUGCUUCUUCUUUCGCCUUCUGAAAUGCAGGAAAAACUAUAGUGAGAUAACAAUGUUUGCCGAGCCAAGGUCACUCCUUCAGACAGAUCUUUAACGUGUCCGCUAACCAAGAUGGCUGCUGCUGCAUUUAGCACCUAACAGUUUCACAAGCAAGAUGGGUUACAAAAUCAUGGCAAGUGAAACAAGGUAAACCUAAGGUGAAAAAUAUGUCCUAGUGUUAUUUCAUUGGUGCAAAAUUUGAUUGACAGAUUUAUUAAGACCGCUCCGAAUUAGAACAUAGAGUGAUUAAUCCUUAUAAAGUACUUACAAA